AGAGACCCAAGUUGACAGAUAAUCGGCGUAAAGAGUGGUUAGGUACUAAUUUUACUAAAGCCAAACACCUUCAAGGCUGUUAUACGCACCCGAAGGUCAGAAGCCCAAUCACGAAAGUGGCUUUAAACUAACUGAACCCACGAAAGCUAGGGCACAAACUGGGAUUAGAUACCCCACUAUGCCUAGCCCUAAACAUUGAUAAUAACUUACAACUAUUAUCCGCCUGGGAACUACGAGCACCA
rnacentral:rRNA from 1 species